UACGUAGGGGCCGAGCGUUGUCCGGAGUUAUUGGGCGUAAAGCGCGCGCAGGCGGCCUCGCGCGCCCGACGUGAAAUCCCUCGGCUUAACCGGGGAACUGCGUCUGAUACUGGAUGGCUUGAGUUUGGGAGAGGGAUGCGGAAUUCCAGGUGUAGCGGUGAGGUGCGUAGAUAUCUGGAGGAACAACGGUGGCGAAGGCGGCAUCCUGGACCAACACUGACGCUGAGGAGCGAAAGCCAGGGGAGCAAACGGG
rnacentral:rRNA from 1 species